rnacentral:tRNA from 1 species
AGAAACUUAGGUUACACACCAAACCAAGAGCCUUCAAAGCUCUAAACAGAGAUCUACCUCUAGUUUCUG